rnacentral:rRNA from 1 species
GGGAUAGAAAGCAGAUCGCAUGAUCAGCUUUUAAAAAAGGGCGGCGUAAGCUGUCGCCUAUGGGGAUGGGCCCCGCGGUGCAUUAGCUAGUUGGUAAAGGUAAAAGGCUUACCAAGGCGAUGAUGCAUAGCCGAGUUGAGAGACUGAUCGGCCACAUUGGGACUGAGACACGGCCCAAACUCCUACGGGAGGCAGCAGUAGGGAAUCUUCCACAAUGGACGCAAGUCUGAUGGAGCAACGCCGCGGUGAGUGAAGAAGGUUUUCGGAUCGUAAAGCUCUGUUGUUGGUGAAGAAGGAUAGAGGUAGUAACUGGCCUUUAUUUGACGGUAAUCAACCAGAAAGUACACGGGCUAACUACGUGCCAGCAGCCGCGGUAAAU